UAGGUAUACGUGUGCCAUGGUGGUCUGCU
rnacentral:piRNA from 1 species